GAAGUGUGAAAGAAAAGGAUUGAGAGAAAGUUUGAGAGAGAAAACUGAACAGCCGGAGUUUUCGUCAGAGAGUCGCCGACGGAAUCCAUUUCCUACUAAGACCUACACUCUAGAGUCCUUGGAGUGAAGUAAGAACUCGUGUUGUUGAGAUUUCCUCCUCUUUCGUCAAGAUCAGAAAGAAAACCCGCAAGGGAAGAUCCGCCACUGAUUUUGGUGAGGAAAUCGGAUGAAACGUCGAGAUCUGAGAAUCUUUCCAAGAACGGAGGAGAGAGAAGUCGC